UACAGAGGGUGCAAGCGUUGUUCGGAAUUAUUGGGCGUAAAGAGCUCGUAGGCGGUUUGUCGCGUCUGCCGUGAAAGUCCGGGGCUCAACUCCGGAUCUGCGGUGGGUACGGGCAGACUAGAGUGUGGUAGGGGAGACUGGAAUUCCUGGUGUAGCGGUGAAAUGCGCAGAUAUCAGGAGGAACACCGAUGGCGAAGGCAGGUCUCUGGGCCAUAACUGACGCUGAGAAGCGAAAGCAUGGGGAGCGAACAGG
rnacentral:rRNA from 1 species